UCACGCCGUGGGGGGGUGGGAGCCUUUGACCGGGAACCCCCCCACCCCCCUACCCGGCCACCCUUGUCUACCGGACCUGUUGCCUCGGCGGGCCUGCAGCGAUGCUGCCGGGGGAGCUUCUCCUCCCCGGGCCCGUGUCCGCCGGGGACACCGCAAGAACCGUCGGUGAACGAUUGGCGUCUGAGCAUGAGAGCGAUAAUAAUCCAAUCAAAACUUUCAACAACGGAUCUCUUGGUUCCGACAUCGAUGAAGAACGCAGCGAAAUGCGAUAAGUAAUGUGAAUUGCAGAAUUCCGUGAAUCAUCGAAUCUUUGAACGCACAUUGCGCCCCCUGGUAUUCCGGGGGGCAUGCCUGUCCGAGCGUCAUUGCAACCCUCAAGCGCGGCUUGUGUGUUGGGCCGUCGUCCCCCCUCGACCGGCGGGACGUGCCCGAAAUGCAGUGGCGGUGUCGAGUUCCGGUGCCCGAGCGUAUGGGGCUUUGCCACCCGCUCUGGAGGCCCGGCCGGCUCCUGCCCACCAUA
rnacentral:misc_RNA from 1 species